rnacentral:rRNA from 1 species
CUUUCAACAACGGAUCUCUUGGUUCUGGCAUCGAUGAAGAACGCAGCGAAAUGCGAUAAGUAAUGUGAAUUGCAAAAUUCAGUGAAUCAUCGAAUCUUUGAACGCACAUUGCGCCCUCUGGUAUUCCGGGGGGCAUGCCUGUUCGAGCGUCAUU